AAAAGUUAAAACUUUCAACAACGGAUCUCUUGGCUCUAGCAUCGAUGAAGAACGCAGCGAAAUGCGAUAAGUAAUGUGAAUUGCAGAAUUCAGUGAAUCAUCGAAUCUUUGAACGCACAUUGCCCCUGGUAGUAUUCUGCCAGGCAUGCCUGUCCGAGCGUCAUUUCACCACUCAAGACUUGCUU
rnacentral:rRNA from 1 species